UGGUUAACGCCACGGCUACGUACAUAACCGUUGCAAUAGCUAGGUCUAUUGCGACGGCUGCUUAAUACCUUCUCAAUAAUAGGGUCUAAAGCAACGGAUAAGAGUUGGCCGUUGCAAUAGGGCUUUUUUUUUUUUUUUUUUUUUUUUUUUUUUUUUUUUUGCAAUAGGGCUGUUUUAUACAAUGAGUGUAAAAUAUGAACUUUUUACCUGGGCGCACUAAAAAAUCCCACCUAAUUUUUCUCCAAAAUUAAAGUUUCACGCUUUCCUAAGAAAACCCGCCCUUCCUCUAAAAAAACAAAAGAAAUCCGCCAAAUUUCCUUUUUUUUUUCUUUUUCAUGAAUAAUCAAAAAGGCUACAAACCCGAUCCACCCAGCUUUCUCAAUCAAAUGGCUUUUUAUAAAAAAAAACCAAAACAGGUUCUCUUCUUCAAAUUUUCCAGCGGCAUCUUGAAUUUAAGGAGUGAGAUGUUAGAGGAAGGAGCUAGGAAUGGACCCCGCAAGCCGCAACCACCUUUGAUCUGAGGACGAUCUAUGUUUUUGAAUUUUGACGAGCGAUUUCUGUCUCCUUUGAUCUGACGGUGCCUCUUAUUACUUCCUGGUUUUCAGUUUUCCAAGUUGGGAUGACUUAUGUAUCAUGGAUUUGAUAUUAUAGUUGAUUACGUAGGCGUCCCAAUGAAGUCCUAGACCACACUUUGAAGCAAAAAGAGUGAGCUUUAAUUCUCGUAUGUUUAUAGAUUUAUUGCAAAGUUGUUUAUUUUUUUAUUGCUAUGUCUUAUUUGUUGGCAUGUUCUUUUCAAGGGGAAUUAUCUAGGGGCUCAUCCGUGGAGUGAAUGUCAGGAGGAUCAGCUAAUGUUGAUUAAUAUAAACUCAUUACUUGUCCUAAUAUUACUUCAAGUAAAUUUAUAUUCCUUGCCUAGAUUUAAUCGUGCUGCCUUGAUAUUUUUUCGUUGCUUUCAAUUACAUUUCAUCUAUUUGAUUUUGAAUGUAUGCGUCUUUCUGCAUAUGAACAAAUGGUAUUCAAUCUCAGUUACCUCUUCUGGAGUUAAUGGACUGUGGUAUGUUUAUUUAUGAUCCUGACAUGGAUGAUGCUUCUGUAGAUGAAAGCAGUGAUAAGUGUCCACAGAAAAGUAGCAAGCUAAGCUGCAUCAUAUAUAUCCUGAAGCUUAUUAUCAAGCAAAAGAAACUUUGCUUGUGGGGUUGUUCUGGCUUAGAUGGGAUUUAGAUCCAUUGGAUAUGGUGCAAAUAGUGCUACAGGUGGAAGAUGCUUCCAGAAUUGCUUUACUUGAGAAAUUUGAGAAGCAGGAGAAGAAAUGAUAAUGUGGUUCAAAGAAUUGCUGAAAAUAUUGUUUGGGGGACAAAAUGAUUUAAUUUUAACUUUUAAUUUUUUUUCUUAAUUAGUUUAACUAGUGAUAAUUUAAUUUUUUAAUUUUCCU